rnacentral:rRNA from 1 species
UACAGAGGGUGCGAGCGUUAAUCGGAAUUACUGGGCGUAAAGCGCACGUAGGCGGCGACGUAAGUCGGGUGUGAAAGCCCCGGGCUCAACCUGGGAAUUGCAUUCGAGACUGCAUUGCUGGAGUACGGAAGAGGAGGGCGGAAUUCCCGGUGUAGCGGUGAAAUGCGUAGAUAUCGGGAGGAACAUCAGUGGCGAAGGCGGCCCUCUGGUCCAGUACUGACGCUCAAGUGCGAAAGCGUAGGGAGCAAACAGG